rnacentral:rRNA from 1 species
UGGGGAAUUUGGACAAUGGGCGAAAGCCUGAUCCAGCAAUGCCGCGUGUGUGAAGAAGGCCUUCGGGUUGUAAAGCACUUUUGUCCGGAAAGAAAUCCUCUGGGUUAAUACCUCGGGGGAGUGACGGUACCGGAAGAAUAAGCACCGGCUAACUACGUGCCAGCAGCCGCGGUAAUACGUAGGGUGCAAGCGUUAAUCGGAAUUACUGGGCGUAAAGCGUGCGCAGGCGGUUUUGUAAGACGGAUGUGAAAUCCCCGGGCUCAACCUGGGAACUGCAUUGGUGACUGGCAGGCUAGAGUAUGGCAGAGGGGGGUAGAAUUCCACGUGUAGCAGUGAAAUGCGUAGAGAUGUGGAGGAAUACCGAUGGCGAAGGCAGCCCCCUGGCCAAGUACUGACGCUCAUGCACGAAAGCGUGGGGGAGCAAACAGGAUUAGAUACCCCUGGUAGUCCACGCCCUAAACGAUGUCAACUAGUUGUUGGGGAUUCAUUUCCUUAGUAACGUAGCUAACGCGUGAAGUUGACCGCCUGGGGGAGUACGGUCGCAAGAUU